UUUAAAUAAUUUUAUUAUCCUGAGAAAAAAUAAAUAAAAAGACUAACAGCAGAUCCAAACAAACAAAAAUAAAUAAUGUAACAGUCUCCAACCUGUGACCUUCAGGCUGUUGCAAAACCACAACGAUCUGACGGCUGGAAGGUAACCGAGGUAACAUGCAGUUUCAUCAUUCUUUAAUAGUAACUCUUUCUGAUAUGUAUUCAGUGCUUCCUUCUGUCCAGAUGUAUUUUUUUCCCCACUUGUGGAUAACAGUUGGAAUACAUAAAAUCAAAAACAUCUCUAAUACAUUAGAAAAAAAAAAAAAAACAAGAAAGAUGACAGAACACACGGCCCAUCGCAGUGGCCUUGUAGGAAGCUGUAUAGUGGCAGACCAGACUGUCCGUGCUGAUCACUGUCCACUGCUUAGAGCAGUGUUUCCCAACCAGGGUGCAUGUGAGCAUCAGAACUGGGCCAAGGAGCAAUGAGAGGAGGCGGCCUGGCACGAUGAAUCCCAUUUUCUUUUACGUGAAGUAGAUAGCUGAGUGCGUGUCUGCCGCUUACCUUGUAAAGAGAUGUCACCAUGAUGUAAUAAAGGGAAGAAGACCAGAUGGAACAGGCAGUGUGAUACACUGGGCAAUGUUCUUCCUGGCUCCUAAUACUCGUGGGGAUGUUCUUUUGACAAGUACUGCCUACCUAAAUAUUGUUACACACCAAAUAGACCCCUUCAUGGCCAUGGUACACCCUUAUAGCAAUGGCUUCUUUCGGCAGGAUAGCGGCUCUGCCCACACGCCAUAAAUUGUACAGGAAUAUGACAAAGUUCAAGGUGUUGACUAGGCCUUUAAAUUCCUCAAUUUUAUCAGGCGACAUGUGAUGUGCUGGAAAAAUAUUGCUAAGGGUGUACUCACACCAUGCUAUGUGCCUCCAGGGCACAGAUCUAGAAGAGGCUCAAAAGCUGCCUGCAACUUUUUAGUGCGUUUUAAGUCUGAUAAGGCCAAAAAAUGAAAAAAAAUACAAGUAAAUUAUAAAAUGCGGUGGGGGGGGGGGGGGGGGUGAUGAAAGAUUAUCUGCAGGUCUACAAGAAGACAAGGAAGAGGAAGUGGGUGUGGGGAUUUAUCAAAACCUGUCCAGAGAAAAGUUGCUGAGUUGCCCAUAGCAACCAAUCAGAUCGCUUCUUUCAUUUUUAACAAGGCCUCUGCAAAAUGAAAGAAGCAAUCUGAUUGGUUGCUAUGGGCAACUCGGCAACUGUUCCUCUGCACAGGUUUUGAUAAAUCUCCCCCAGGGUUUGCAUGUCGUCAGUAACCAUGGAGAGACAUAGGUCUGGACAGGAAAUAAAGCACACAACAGGAGGAUAUUUCUAAUUAAGACUGGAAAGAGGUCUCGUUAUUGAGGCUUAAAAUUAAUUAGCUAAAAUUGGUUGCAAAUGUUUUCAUAAAGUGCAGGACCCUUUAAAGGUGUAUUUAAGGGAGCAACGUUUGUUAUUAGGCCAGUGUUUCCCAACCAGUGUGCCUCUGUUGCAAAACUACAACUCCCAGCAUGCACGGACAGCCUUUGGCUGUCCGGGCAUGCUGGGUGUUGUAGUUUUGCAACAGCUGGAAGCACCCUGGUUGGGAAACACUGGAAUAUGCAUUUGAUAAUUAAUAAAAAAUCCUAUGCUUUCCUUCCUCACUCCCCUGCUGCCAUUCUCACGAAGCCCUGAUCUCACUGAACAGUCCUUCCAGGGUUGGAGUUGGCACAAGAAAAUGCCCACUUAGCCAACUGGUGCCACAGGACUGUGCAGCCGUGGGGGACUGUGUAAACAGCAGGGGAGCAAAAAAAGUAUAGGAUUAUUUUUUUUUGUUUUUACCACCUGCCUGAGCACAAAUUUACAUUAUAUUUUGGAAUAUGCCUUUAGGGUGUGCUCACAUGGACAGUAAAAAAAAAUAAAUAAAAAAAAA